GAUAAACGCUGGCGGCGUGCUUUAUGCAUGCAAGUCGAACGGUUUCGAUUUAUCGGAAUAGUGGCAAACGGGUGAGUAACACGUAAGUAACUUGCCCCUAAGUAGGGGAUAACCCCGGGAAACCGGAGCUAAUACCGUACGUGGUGAUGGGGGUAAUGCUCCAUUACUAAAGCCUUCGGGCGCUUAGGGAGAGGCUUGCGUCCGAUUAGCUAGUUGGUGGGGUAACGGUUCACCAAGGCAGUGAUCGGUAACUGGUCUGAGAGGACGGUCAGUCACACUGGGACUGAGACACGGCCCAGACUCCUACGGGUGGCAG
rnacentral:rRNA from 1 species